AACGUAGGAGGCAAGCGUUAUCCGGAUUUACUGGGCGUAAAGAGCUCGUAGGUGGUUUGUCGCGUUGUUCGUGAAAACUCACAGCUCAACUGUGGGCGUGCGGGCGAUACGGGCAGACUGGAGUACUGCAGGGGAGACUGGAAUUCCUGGUGUAGCGGUGGAAUGCGCAGAUAUCAGGAGGAACACCGGUGGCGAAGGCGGGUCUCUGGGCAGUAACUGACGCUGAGGAGCGAAAGCGUGGGGAGCGAACAGG
rnacentral:rRNA from 1 species